rnacentral:rRNA from 1 species
GACGAACGCUGGCGGCGUGCCUAAUACAUGCAAGUAGAACGCUGAAGGAGGAGCUUGCUUCUCUGGAUGAGUUGCGAACGGGUGAGUAACGCGUAGGUAACCUGCCUGGUAGCGGGGGAUAACUAUUGGAAACGAUAGCUAAUACCGCAUAAGAGUAGAUGUCGCAUGACAUUUGCUUAAAAGGUGCAAUUGCAUCACUACCAGAUGGACCUGCGUUGUAUUAGCUAGUUGGUGAGGUAACGGCUCACCAAGGCAACGAUACAUAGCCGACCUGAGAGGGUGAUCGGCCACACUGGGACUGAGACACGGCCCAGACCCCUACGGGAGGCAGCAGUAGGGAAUCUUCGGCAAUGGACGGAAGUCUGACCGAGCAACGCCGCGUGAGUGAAGAAGGUUUUCGGAUCGUAAAGCUCUGUUGUAAGAGAAGAACGAGUGUGAGAGUGGAAAGUUCACACUGUGACGGUAUCUUACCAGAAAGGGACGGCUAACUACGUG